rnacentral:rRNA from 1 species
GUCUAUUUGAAGAUAUAAAAAGUCUAGCCUGCUCACUGAUAUUGUUUUUAAGAGCCGCGGUAUUUCUGACUGUGCAAAGGUAGCAUAAUCGUUAGUUUUUUAAUUGAAAUCUUGUAUGAAUGGUUUUACAAAAAAAUAACUGUCUUUAUAAUUAUUAAUUGAAUUUAACUUUUAAGUGAAAAGGCUUAAAUAAAUUAAAAAGACGAUAAGACCCUAUAAAGCUUAAUAUUAAUUUUUAUUUAAUAAAAUUUUAUAUAAUAUAAAUAUUUGGUAAAACUUUUUUAUUUUAUUGGGGUGAUAAUGGUAAAAUGAUUAAUAACUGUUAAUUUUAUUAAAACAAAAAUAAAUGAAUAAUAAAUUUUAUUUAAUAAAUGAUCCUAUUUAAAGAUUUAAAGUUU